CACUCCAGGAGCUUGGUCAUUGUGCUGAAGACUGUGGAACGGUGAAGGCCAAAAUUAUAAUUGAAGAAUCCACCUUUCAGUGUCUUGUGGAUGCCGCGGGUGACAUCCGCCCAUUCAGCGCAGAGAACAGAAGCGAGUCCAUGACCCAUCACACCUCCUCACCAGCCAAAAAGAAUGUGGAUGCUGCUUUGGUGAAAUGACAGAGAGAAAGUGGAGAAACAGUGUCCACUGGCAGCUGAAUGAGAGGAGGGGCUGCUGCGUUUGGUGAGGAGCGCUACAGGUGCAGACUGGUCAGCCGUUGACCUUAAUGGUGCAUUAAAUCCAGAUGCUUAAAUAGCUUACAUGCUUAAACCCUGGUCCCCUGCCACCACCCAGCGAGAAGAGAUCUGCACUCUGAGUCUGAGUGUGUGUCUGUGUGUGUUUGGAUUUUUUUGGAUGGAUCGUAAGACCAGAAAAUGUUGGAUUUUUUAAAAAACAGGAAAUACUACUCAGUUCUACUUUGCGACUGACUCACCAUCAACAUCUGUACAUAAAUAAUUAAUCUCUG